CCAGGCGUGGAGGAUGGUCGCCUCGAGCGCGGCCGGCAGCUGCGCCAGUUCUUUUUCGUCGGUCGGAUCGUAGUCGGCCGCCAGCA
rnacentral:tRNA from 1 species